rnacentral:rRNA from 1 species
AUUGAACGCUGGCGGCAGGCCUAACACAUGCAAGUCGCACGAGUGGCGGACGGGUGAGUAAUGUCUGGGAAACUGCCCGAUGGAGGGGGAUAACUACUGGAAACGGUAGCUAAUACCGCGUACCAUCGUAUGUUCCCAGAUGGGAUUAGCUGGUAGGUGAGGUAACGGCUCACCUAGGCGACGAUCCCUAGCUGGUCGGAGAGGAUGACCAGCCACACUGGAACGGAGACACGGUCCAGACUCGUACGGGAGGCAGCAGUGGGGAAUAGUGCACAAUGGGCGCAAGCCUGAUGCAGCAAGGCCGCGUGUAUGAAGAAGGCCUUCGGGUUGUAAAGUACUUUCAGCGGGGAGGCGUUACCCGCAGAAGAAGCACCGGCUAACGCCGUGCCAGCAGCCGCGGUAAUAC